CUCUCUUUUCCAAACACAACAAACUCACCGCCACACACUGCCCUUCCUGCGACCUUGAAUCCAGAGACCACCAGGCCCAAAAGCCACCUGGAGGAUUUCACUACUGUCUCUGUGGUGGUCAGAAGGGCUGAGAGCAGAACGCAGGAGCCAGAAGACAAUGUCAGAACCCCUUGGAACUGGAGUUACAGACAGUUCCUGGGCCUUGAACUCAUAUCGCGAAGCUUAGAAGUGAGCGCCCUUACAGGCUGAGCCACCUCUGGAUCCUACUGAACAUAUUUAAACAGUGUGUAUCUGCACUGGAGUCUUGGUGAGGAGUCACAGAGAGCAGCUCCUGCCAUUCCGUGCCUGCAGAGCCUCCUGGCAGCUGCUGGGAACUGGCAAUCCCCACCUUCCUCCUGGGCUGGUUUGAUAUGGGGUAAGGCCAGCACCCAGAUGUCCUCUCCUUGGGAAAAGCCCUGAUCCGCCCAUGUGCCUGGAUGACAAAGCCACACACAGCAGCUGCAGGAUAACAGUUACAGCUCUUCAGUCUGGGGAGGGCUGUGACCGUCUGAGGUUUCACAACAGGUCUGAAGGACAAGCUGAAGUAUGAACCCAGAUGCCUAGACUUGAGGUUCAAAGCAGCCUCAAGGCUCCAGUCUCCCAGGGACUUAAAGCUGUUUCUUGUCAACAACAUUGCCCAGAAGCAGCUCGGAUGCAGACUGCACGUAUACAGGUGCCCAGGACAGUCAGAGUCUUUCACAAACAUGAGCGCCUAUGUCAUUGUCAAACAGCACCGCGGUCCCUUAGUGCCUAGAAAGGAUGUCAAACCUGGGGAUGACAGCCCAGAGUCCCUUACGAACAGCAGUGUAAUGUAUGAACUAUCUAAGUAAAAA
rnacentral:lncRNA from 1 species